rnacentral:rRNA from 1 species
CCUACGGGGGGCAGCAGUAGGGAAUAUUGCUCAAUGGGGGAAACCCUGAAGCAGCAACGCCGCGUGGAGGAUGAAGGUUUUCGGAUUGUAAACUCCUUUUGUUAGAGAAGAUAAUGACGGUAUCUAACGAAUAAGCACCGGCUAACUCCGUGCCAGCAGCCGCGGUCAUACGGAGGGUGCAAGCGUUACUCGGAAUCACUGGGCGUAAGGAGCGCGUAGGCGGGAUAGCAAGUCAGAUGUGAAAUCCUAUGGCUUAACCAUAGAACUGCAUUUGAAACUGUUAUUCUGGAGUAGGGGAGAGGUAGGUGGAAUUCUUGGUGUAGGGGUAAAAUCCGUAGAGAUCAAGAAGAAUACUCAUUGCGAAGGCAACCUGCUAGAACAUAACUGACGCUGAUGCGCGAAAGCGUGGGGAGCAAACAGGAUUAGAUCCCCGGGUAGUC